rnacentral:rRNA from 2 species
GGGUUGUGAGGUUAAGCGACUAAGCGUACACGGUGGAUGCCCUGGCAGUCAGAGGCGAUGAAGGGCGUGCUAAUCUGCGAUAAGCGCCGGUAAGGUGAUAUGAACCGUUAUAACCGGCGAUACCCGAAUGGGGAAACCCAGUGUGAUUCGUCACACUAUCAUUAACUGAAUCCAUAGGUUAAUGAGGCGAACCGGGGGAACUGAAACAUCUAAGUACCCCGAGGAAAAGAAAUCAACCGAGAUUCCCCCAGUAGCGGCGAGCGAACGGGGAGGAGCCCAGAGCCUGAAUCAGCAUGUGUGUUAGUGGAAGCGUCUGGAAAGGCGCGCGAUACAGGGUGACAGCCCCGUACACAAAAGCGCAUAUGCUGUGAGCUCGAUGAGUAGGGCGGGACACGUGGUAUCCUGUCUGAAUAUGGGGGGACCAUCCUCCAAGGCUAAAUACUCCUGACUGACCGAUAGUGAACCAGUACCGUGAGGGAAAGGCGAAAAGAACCCCGGCGAGGGGAGUGAAAAAGAACCUGAAACCGUGUACGUACAAGCAGUGGGAGCCCCACCACUAAGCCAGUGGUGAACUCCACAUACGCAUCCUUUGCUGAGGAGACGGUUAACGGAGCGAAAGCGACGUUCAACCUCAAAAGAAGCAGAGGGGGCUUAGUGGUGGGGUGACUGCGUACCUUUUGUAUAAUGGGUCAGCGACUUAUAUUCUGUAGCAAGGUUAACUGUAUAGGGGAGCCGGAGGGAAACCGAGUCUUAACCGGGCGUUAAGUUGCAGGGUAUAGACCCGAAACCCGGUGAUCUAGCCAUGGGCAGGUUGAAGGUUGGGUAACACUAACUGGAGGACCGAACCGACUAAUGUUGAAAAAUUAGCGGAUGACCUGUGGC